GAUGAACGCUAGCGGCAGGCUUAACACAUGCAAGUCGAGGGGUAUAUAGGAGCUUGCUUUUAUAGAGACCGGCAAACGGGUGCGGAACACGUACGCAAUCUGCCCUUAUCUUGGGGAUAGCCCAUAGAAAUGUGGAUUAAUACCCAAUAGUCUAUUUGGAUGGCAUCAUUUAAAUAUUAAAGAACUUCGGAUAAGGAUGAGCGUGCGUAAGAUUAGCUAGAUGGUGAGGUAACGGCUCACCAUGGCAACGAUCUUUAGCUGAUGUGAGAGCAUGAUCAGCCCCACGGGCACUGAGACACGGGCCCGACUCCUACGGGAGGCAGCAGUGAGGAAUAUUGGUCAAUGGACGGAAGUCUGAACCAGCCAUGCCGCGUGAAGGAUGAAGGCGUUCUGCGUUGUAAACUUCUUUUAUCAGGGAAGAAACCACAGAUUUCUAUUUGUGUUGACGGUACCUGAGGAAUAAGCACCGGCUAACUCCGUGCCAGCAGCCGCAGUAACAC
rnacentral:rRNA from 1 species